GUAGGUGGCAAGCGUUGUCCGGAAUUAUUGGGCGUAAAGCGCGCGCAGGCGGUCCUUUAAGUCUGAUGUGAAAGCCCACGGCUCAACCGUGGAGGGUCAUUGGAAACUGGGGGACUUGAGUACAGAAGAGGAAAGCGGAAUUCCAAGUGUAGCGGUGAAAUGCGUAGAGAUUUGGAGGAACACCAGUGGCGAAGGCGGCUUCCUGGUCUGUAACUGACGCUGAGGCGCGAAAGCGUGGGGAGCAAACAGGAUUAGAUACCCUGGUAGUCCACGCCGUAAACGAUGAGUGCUAAGUGUUAGGGGGUUUCCCGCCCCCCUUAGUGCUGCAGCUAACGCAUUAAGCACUCCGCCUGGGGAGUACGGCCCGCAAGGCUG
rnacentral:rRNA from 1 species